rnacentral:rRNA from 1 species
UACAGAGGUUCCAAGCGUUGUUCGGAUUCAUUGGGCGUAAAGGGUGCGUAGGUGGCAUGGUAAGUCGGGUGUGAAAUCCCGGGGCUCAACCCCGGAACUGCACUCGAUACUGCCGUGCUCGAGUACUGGAGAGGAGACUGGAAUUUACGGUGUAGCAGUGAAAUGCGUAGAUAUCGUAAGGAAGACCGGUGGCGAAGGCUAGUCUCUGGACAGUUACUGACACUGAGGCACGAAGGCCAGGGGAGCAAACGGG